UCUCCGUUGGUGAACCAGCGGAGGGAUCAUUACAGAGUUUUCACAACUCCCAACCCUUGCGAACCGUACCCAUCCUGUUCUCGUUGCUUCCGGCGGGGGGGACGGGGGGGCCCGAAACGGCCUCCCCGCCCCGCCCGCCGGGGGCGGCGGGCCCUACGAACCUUUAUAUCUCAACCACCAAAAACCGUCUGAGAAAACAAACAAAAUAAUCAAAACUUUCAACAACGGAUCUCUUGGCUCUG
rnacentral:misc_RNA from 1 species